rnacentral:piRNA from 1 species
UGACGAACUCGUCCUGCUCACGGAAA